rnacentral:rRNA from 1 species
UACAGAGGGGGCUAGCGUUGUUCGGAAUUACUGGGCGUAAAGGGCGCGUAGGUGGCCUGUUAAGUCGAGCGUGAAAUCCCCGGGCUCAACCCGGGAACUGCGUCCGAGACUGGCAGGCUCGAAUCCGGGAGAGGGAUGUGGAAUUCCAGGUGUAGCGGUGAAAUGCGUAGAUAUCUGGAGGAACACCGGUGGCGAAGGCGGCAUCCUGGACCGGUAUUGACGCUGAGGCGCGAAAGCCAGGGGAGCAAACGGG